UACGUAGGGUGCGAGCGUUGUCCGGAAUUAUUGGGCGUAAAGAGCUCGUAGGCGGUGUGUCGCGUCGGUCGUGAAGACUUGGGGCUUAACCCUGAGCGUGCGGUCGAUACGGGCAUCACUGGAGUUCGGCAGGGGAGACUGGAAUUCCUGGUGUAGCGGUGAAAUGCGCAGAUAUCAGGAGGAACACCGGUGGCGAAGGCGGGUCUCUGGGCCGAUACUGACGCUGAGGAGCGAAAGCGUGGGGAGCAAACAGG
rnacentral:rRNA from 1 species